rnacentral:rRNA from 1 species
ACGGGUGAGUAAUACAUCGGAACGUGCCCUGUAGUGGGGGAUAACUAGUCGAAAGAUUAGCUAAUACCGCAUACGACCUGAGGGUGAAAGUGGGGGACCGCAAGGCCUCAUGCUAUAGGAGCGGCCGAUGUCUGAUUAGCUAGUUGGUGGGGUAAAGGCCCACCAAGGCGACGAUCAGUAGCUGGUCUGAGAGGACGAUCAGCCACACUGGGACUGAGACACGGCCCAGGCUCCUACGGGAGGCAGCAGUGGGGAAUUUUGGACAAUGGGGGCAACCCUGAUCCAGCAAUGCCGCGUGUGUGAAGAAGGCCUUCGGGUUGUAAAGCACUUUUGUCCGGAAAGAAAUCGCACUUACUAAUAUUAGGUGUGGAUGACGGUACCGGAAGAAUAAGGACCGGCUAACUACGUGCCAGCAGCCGCGGUAAUACGUAGGGUCCAAGCGUUAAUCGGAAUUACUGGGCGUAAAGCGUGCGCAGGCGGUUGUGCAAGACCGAUGUGAAAUCCCCGGGCUUAACCUGGGAAUUGCAUUGGUGACUGCACGGCUAGAGUGUGUCAGAGGGGGGUAGAAUUCCACGU